rnacentral:lncRNA from 1 species
UGAGUUCCGUGCUCGAGGGCGGUCGCUCCCCCUCGGGCGAUGCGCUCCGGAGUUAUGCAUCACGGGUUGGAGUAAACCCGAAGGACGGUCCUAGCGGGUGAGUUCCUGCGAUGAUGGACUUAAUGUGAAGCAAGUUAAUGUGGCGAAACCCCCGGGUUAGCCUUGAGAUUAAAGAACAAAGAACAAAGAGCAAAGAAUAAAGAACAAAGUACAAAGUAAAGUCAAAGAACGAAUGAGUUUGCAUAAUCUGCAUUUAUUUAAUGUUGAGCAUACUUCUUGCUUAUUGUUCAGGCAUAUUAGCAUCAUGUUAUAGAUUGGUUACUAUACAGCUUAUUCUUUCUAUUAUGCCUGAGUUAGUCCUAGUGGGAAAGUCGGUGAUGUUGAGGCCGAACCCACUGGGAACUUUGUUGUAGUUCUCACCCCACUAUUUCCACAGAGCCGGGACCGAGCGAGCCGGCGAGCGACCGAGGUAAAGGUAUCGCGCCUUAGUCAGAGGCCACCAAAGUUGGGUUUCAUUUUGUAGUAAAGUACCCUAUGAUCAUCUUUUGUACAUGAUGGUAAAUGAUGUAAAGAAAAGAAUGUAAUGUGUAUUUUGAGGUAAAUGUGAUGUAAGAAAGAAAUGAUGAAAUGAAAUGUAAGGAAUUCGAAAAUGAACAAGAUGAAUGCAAUGUAUAUGAUCAAAAAUGAAUCAUAGUACAAGUGAAUGUUUAGUUUCCUUUUUCUUUCACUAAUGGCUAUUGCUUACCCUCGUGUAAGCCGUUUGUGUAUGUUUCCGCUAGUGCUUUUCUCUAUUGAUGAAAAUGUACAUGUGAUGAGCCUUGGGCGGAUAGGGGAAACUCUGUCCGUUCGGCGUCUGUUUGACGUGCUCGGGUCGGGCCAAAUUGGCAUCGGUCCCGGGGCGUGACAGAUAGGUUGGUAUCAGAGCCAAUAGUGAAAGAAUAGGAAUGGACCUAGAGACCUAUAGGAUUGGAAGGCCUUAAGGAUCUAGGAAACGUGAGUGACGUGGGAUCAAAGUUAGCGAAAGCAUGUGAUUGGGUUAAGUAGGGACGUCUCUAAUGUGAUUAGAGGCUAAGUUUAAUUUUCGUUUAUCCUCUACUUCUAGUGUUGUGUCGGGCGGCCGACGACAUGACGCUUGAGGCAAGGAUGAAUGUGCAUGUUGCUUUCGCCUAAUUGGGUAUGGUCAAGUAAUGUUGGUCAAGUGACUAAUGCUAGUUGCUUCUUUUCAGGAAGCAAUGGCACCUCGACGUCGAUCCCAGGCAAGAUCGAUGCCGGAGGAAGCGAAUGCGGUGCCCGAGCAAUCCGGAGCAAGUGGCGACGGAGAGCUUAGGGAGCAAAUGGCCGCUCUUAUUGGAGUAGUGCGGCAGCAAGCGGAGUCUGUUCAACGCCAAGGGGAACAGAUCCAGCGGCUCCAGGAGACCAUGGAGCGCCAGCAGGCGGCGGCAGCCCAGG